rnacentral:hammerhead_ribozyme from 1 species
ACCCAGCUGACGAGUCCGAAAUAGGACAAAACCCGAGUCCUGGAU